AUUGAACGCUGGCGGCAUGCCUUACACAUGCAAGUCGAACGGCAGCACGGGUGCUUGCACCUGGUGGCGAGUGGCGAACGGGUGAGUAAUACAUCGGAACGUACCUUAUCGUGGGGGAUAACGCAGCGAAAGCUGUGCUAAUACCGCAUACGCCCUGAGGGGGAAAGCGGGGGAUCGCAAGACCUCGCGCGAUUAGAGCGGCCGAUGCCUGAUUAGCUUGUUGGUGGGGGAAAAGCCCACCAAGGCGACGAUCAGUAGCUGGUCUGAGAGGACGAUCAGCCACACUGGGACUGAAACACGGCCCGGAAUCCUACGGGAGGCAGCAGUGGGGAAUUUUGGAAAAUGGGGGCAACCCUGAUCCAGCAAUGCCGCGUGAGUGAAGAAGGCCUUCGGGUUGUAAAGCUCUUUUGUCAGGGAAGAAACACCGGCUCUAACACAGUCCGGGAAUGACGGUACCUGAAGAAUAAGCACCGGCUAACUACGUGCCAGCAGCCGCCGUAA
rnacentral:rRNA from 1 species